rnacentral:tRNA from 1 species
GGAGAGAUAUCGAAGUUGGUCAUAACGAGGCGGUCUUGAAAACCGUUUGUCCAUAAGGGCGCGUGGGUUCGAAUCCCACUCUCUCCGC